GAUGAACGCUAGCGGCAGGCCUAACACAUGCAAGUCGAGGGGCAGCAUGAAUAAUAGCAAUAUUAUUUGAUGGCGACCGGCGCACGGGUGCGUAACACGUAUGUAAUCUGCCUUGAACUGGGGCAUAACGUCGAGAAAUCGGCGCUAAUUCCCCAUAAAACCACAGAGUGGCAUCACUCAAUGGUUAAAGCUCCGGCGGUUCAAGAUGAACAUGCGUCCAAUUAGCUAGUUGGUGAGGUAACGGCUCACCAAGGCUCCGAUUGGUAGGGGUUCUGAGAGGAUGAUCCCCCACACUGGUACUGAGACACGGACCAGACUCCUACGGGAGGCAGCAGUGAGGAAUAUUGCGCAAUGGACGAAAGUCUGACGCAGCCAUGCCGCGUGAAGGAUUGAAGGCCCUAUGGGUUGUAAACUGCUUUUGCAGGGGAGAAAUAACCGAAUGGGAUGAUAGUACUCUGCGAAUAAGUCCCGGCUAACUACGUG
rnacentral:rRNA from 1 species